rnacentral:lncRNA from 1 species
UUAUAUGGAUAAUUGAAUACAGAUUGACUGUCGUGCCAAGUAAUGGAACUGGAAAAUUGAAACCAACUACAAAGUCCAGAAGAUAUAAAGCAAGAAAGAAAUACAAAUAAAUGUGCAAGAAGGAAAAGCAAAAUUAAUAAAAUAAAAGGAGUUAAUUGCAAAAUUAAUAAUCUCCGAGCCGGCGAGACUUCACUGUCGUCUUUUGGUGCUUACGUUGACG